rnacentral:rRNA from 1 species
GAUUGUAGGCUGCAACUCGCCUACAUGAAGUCGGAAUUGCUAGUAAUCGCGGAUCAGCAUGCCGCGGUGAAUACGUUCCCGGGCCUUGUACACACCGCCCGUCACACCAUGAGAGCCGGUAACACCCGAAGUCAGUAGCCUAACCGCAAGGGGGGCGCUGCCGAAGGUGGGAUUGGUAAUUGGGGUGAAGUCGUAACAAGGUACC